ACGCUCGACACCUACGGGGGCAGCAGUGGGGAAUAUUGCACAAUGGGGGAAACCCUGAUGCAGCGACGCCGCGUGAGUGAAGAAGUAUUUCGGUAUGUAAAGCUCUAUCAGCAGGGAAGAAGAUGACGGUACCUGAGUAAGAAGCCCCGGCUAACUACGUGCCAACAGCCGCGGUAAUCUGAGCGGGCUGGCAAGGC
rnacentral:rRNA from 1 species